rnacentral:rRNA from 1 species
AUUGAACGCUGGCGGCAGGCCUAACACAUGCAAGUCGAGCGGAUGAAGGGAGCUUGCUCCUGGAUUCAGCGGCGGACGGGUGAGUAAUGCCUAGGAAUCUGCCCGGUAGUGGGGGAUAACGUCCGGAAACGGGCGCUAAUACCGCAUACGUCCUGAGGGAGAAAGUGGGGGAUCUUCCGACCUCACGCUAUCAGAUGAGCCUAGGUCGGAUUAGCUAGUUGGUGGGGUAAAGGCCUACCAAGGCGACGAUCCGUAACUGGUCUGAGAGGAUGAUCAGUCACACUGGAACUGAGACACGGUCCAGACUCCUACGGGAGGCAGCAGUGGGGAAUAUUGGACAAUGGGCGAAAGCCUGAUCCAGCCAUGCCGCGUGUGUGAAGAAGGUCUUCGGAUUGUAAAGCACUUUAAGUUGGGAGGAAGGGCAGUAAGUUAAUACCUUGCUGUUUUGACGUUACCAACAGAAUAAGCACCGGCCAACUUCGUG